CAGUUUCUGAGAGCAGUACUCAGGGGUGUCUGAAGGAUCUGCAUUACACAGACACCACAAAAGCUGUUGGAAAGAAUGGCAUGAAUGAAAGAAAAAGAGCAGUGCCCGGUGUGUUUGUUUCCCUAAAGCUCAGGGCACAGCACAAACCAGGUGAGGCAUGGGAUUCAAGGUAAAGCCAACAUCAGCAGUGAGAUCCAGGUCUGACUUGUCCACUCCUGGAGGGGGCCGGAAAACAAAUUUGCGGAGCAAGCCAGCAAAGAAGAGGAACAGCUCCAUUUUGGCCAGUCCUUCUCCAACACAAGCCCUUCGUCCUGAAAACAACCAGGAGAGAAAAGAAGACCCCAGCGCACAGUUGUAGAAGUAGUCUCAGUCCCAGCAGCAAAGAGGUCCAGGGUUGAAAACAUCAAGUUUCCAUUGCUGAACAUAGUUUGGGCUUUCUUUGACUCCUUCAAAACAUACAGGAAGGUUUAGGAUGAUCUCCUCCUUAUGUGUGCUGAGUGGUAACUUAUUUCACUUACGUGGGACAUCUUGACAACUAGAUCCCUGUAACCAGCAGUUUCAGUGGAGCUAUGGAGCGAGCACAGCACAGCUCAAUGAACUACACGUUUUCCUUCUGCCUGCUCACUCAGACCCUACCUCUGUCAGCGACUGGAACGGCUUUUUCAGGUCCACCACAUUCAGGUUUCCAAUCAGAGGAAGAGGACGUGGCCCAGGAGGCAAGCUGCAAACAG